rnacentral:rRNA from 1 species
GAUGAACGCUAGCGGGAGGCUUAACACAUGCAAGUCGAGGGGCAGCAUAGGGUAGCAAUACUCUGAUGGCGACCGGCAAACGGGUGAGUAACGCGUAUGCAACCUACCCUGUACAGGGGGAUAACCCGGAGAAAUUCGGACUAACACCGCAUAAUACUGAAUUACUGCAUGGUUUUUCAGUUAAAUAUUUAUAGCUUACAGAUGGGCAUGCGUAUGAUUAGAUAGUUGGUAGGGUAACGGCCUACCAAGUCAACGAUCAUUAGGGGUUCUGAGAGGAAGGUCCCCCACACUGGUACUGAGACACGGACCAGACUCCUACGGGAGGCAGCAGUGAGGAAUAUUGGUCAAUGGGCGAGAGCCUGAACCAGCCAAGUCGCGUGAAGGAAGAAGGUUCUAUGGAUUGUAAACUUCUUUUAUAGUAGAAUAAAGUGAUCCACGUGUGGAUUUUUGUAUGUAUACUAUGAAUAAGGAUCGGCUAACUCCGUGCCAGCAGCCGCGGUAA